rnacentral:rRNA from 1 species
UACGUAGGGUGCGAGCGUUAAUCGGAAUUACUGGGCGUAAAGCGUGCGCAGGCGGUUCGUUGUGUCGGCGGUGAAAGCCCCGGGCUUAACCUGGGAAUGGCCGUUGAAACUGGCGAACUGGAGUGUGGCAGAGGGGGGUGGAAUUCCGGCGUGUAGCAGUGAAAUGCGUAGAGAUGCGGAGGAACACCGAUGGCGAAGGCAGCCCCCUGGGCUAGCACUGACGCUCAGGCACGAAAGCGUGGGGAGCAAACAGG